AGCAGCCGCCGCUCCUUAAGCCACCCCUUAGAAGCCGCAAGCAGGCGAGUCGGGUGUGUUAUGGGGGCGGAUUGACAAGCCUCUCGUCCAAUAAAGAGAAAGAGCUGGUCCAGAGUUCCGCGGCAUCGCCAAGCGGUUGGCCAACGGGGGACUUCGGAGGGGAGAGCUUCAUUGGAGGCCCACCUGCUCGCCGAUCCGGCUUUCUCUAGCCGUCAGGCUCCCGUUGGGCGAGUGUGUUUGUGUCCGUGUAAAUCGGCGGCUCCCGGGGGAAUCUGCAGCGGAGGUCAAAGGAGGCAGCGAAAAUUGCGUGGAUAAGUUCCACAGGUUCUCAUCUACCUAACACAGAGUGGUCGCUGGAGGAGGAUUCUGCAUAGAAUUGCUGUGCUGCUGUAAGAUCUUGUUAUUGCUACAGCCUGGCAUGCUUUUUUGUCUUGUGUCAUACCAGCUUCAUGGGCCAUAAACUCUACUGAACUGCGAGGAGUAGGAAGAGAAAGAAGAGCAGUGAGAGGAGGUGGAAAAUGCUGGGCCAAGAAUUUACCUCAUUCUGGUAAGCCUAAGAGGGGCAUUUGCUAGAGUUCCACUGCUGGGGCUAAACCUUACAGAAAGUACCAUAUGGGCACCAGCAGUUACCACUUUCUUACUGUUCCCGUGGCAACCUGCUGACCGUGCCAGAUUUAGGCACAAGCUAAGCAAGUUACAGUUUAGGGUCUCAUUGGGGUCUCAUAGUCCAAAGGGGCCUCUCAAAAUUUCAGUUUUCUUUUCACUUGUUACAGUUUCAUUAUCAUUUCAUACUGCAAAGUCUCCAUUAAUUAAGCUAUUCUGUAUGGUUCACAUGAUCCUCAUUAAUUAACGUAUGCUUUGUUUCUGGCUACACUUAUACCUUCUAUUCACAGAGGAUCUUUCCCUACCACAUUGUGGAUUUUUUUAAUGCUUGGCAUUCUUGCCAAGUUCAGUUGUUAUAUAUGCCAGGUAGAAUCUCUAGAGUUUAAUCACUGUUAACACUUUCCAAACAAAACUGCUAAAGUUUCUCAAAGUUUAGCCCUCUCCUGCCAGCCAGUCCUUCCACUUCUUCCUUUAGUAGUGGUUCAACCCACAUCUAUUUCAUCCAAACUUCAUGAAGAGCGAGGAGACAGGAGAGUGAUAGCAUCUCUGAAGCUGCUCUGGUGGGCCAGUCAGCUAUGCUGUGGUGGACCAGCCAGAUCAGUAGGGUUGAGCUGCGCUUCUAUUAGCACUAAUAUAUAACCACUGACACAACCCAGCUUUAAUGAUAGACAGCUCCAAAUACCAGCUCUCCUUGAAGAAACAGUCAAACCUGGAUAUUGGCAGGCUGCCAACAGCUGAGCCAUGUCAUGAUGAGGCAUAGUCCCUUUUGGUGCUAGUUUCUCAACCAUCCAAAAAUUCUUACCCAUAGCAACAGCUUCCUUUUGCUGUUGUAUUCACCAGAUACAACAUUAGUUGUGGGGAGUAGUUGUACAGUUCAAGAUACAUUCAAGUAUCUAGUCCAGGACAUGCUUGUUUAUGGUUGUUAUCUCAUGAAACCACCCUAGUUCAGGAUAGUGAUGGAUACCCACCAAAAGUAGACUUUUAGAGACUUUCCAGACCCUCCUCUAACUCAUGUUUCUUUAUGGUAGUACCUUCAGAGAGAACAUCACCCUGUAUUCAGACAAGUAGUUCUGGCACAGAUUGUUAGCAGCCUGUACUGCAGUACAAUUUCCACUUCCCUUUCUUUCAGAGAUUGAUAGCCAUUGGGAUCAGCCAAUACACAGCACCAUUAACUGACCAAAUGCGCUCUUUUCCCAUAACUGUCUUAACUCCCCUACAAAAUAAAUCCUGCAUUGUUUAAACUGACUAGGUGCAAGAUGUUCUGCACAUGUAGCCACUUGCUUUUUAAAUAAAUACCUUAAGCAUGAAAGAUAGGUAAAGCUCUGGUUUCAUUUCCAUCCAAGUGGAAUGGCCACCAUUACUGUUGGGGAAGAGAGAAGAGGCUCUCUUCUCGCCAAGGCUCAAGGUUGACUCAGCCUUCCAUCCUUUCUAAGGUAGAUAAAUUGAGGACCCAGUUGUGGGGGCAAUAAGCUGACUUUGUAUAAAUAUACAAAAGGAUGAAGGCUAUUGCUGAGCACAUUGUAAGCCGCCCUGAGUCUUCGGAGAAGGGCGGCAUAUAAAUCAAAUUAAAAAAAAAAGAAGAAGAAGAAGAAAUAAUGACAGCCCACCUUCGGAAGCCAAAGACAGCAGCUUUUGCAUUGCUGACCUACCAUCUGGAGAAGGCAUUCAUGGCUGGGCUUUAUUGGCUAGUGAUGCCAUCGCUUAGCACAGCAUGGCUCAGUUCACGGCUGGGGUGGAAUCCUUGAGAGAGUGUGUAAUUGACUGUGGUAAUAGCUCCCUGUGUUCCCACUACAUUAAUUUAUGGACUGCACACAGGGUGUCAGGAUUUGUUGCUAUGCCUGGUAUAAGAUCUGAUAUAGGUGUACAUUGAAUUUCACACCAGUUAGUUUCCCAACUGAGGGAGUAGAUCCAGAUUGGGAUUAUGAUCACAAAUUGCUGUAACCCAUGAUUGGGACAAAGAGCUGAAGGUAUGUACACUGUUAUCUCAUCAUAUAUGAAAAUAAGAACUGGGCCCAAGGUAUAUAAUAGACUUCCUUGUAUAUCAGCGCUUGUGCCAUCCAAGCAGAGUUAGUUUGAUAAACCAUGAUUAAAACCGUAUGCUGUUUAUGAUUUUGUUUAAAACAGUACCCUCAUAGAAUUGUGCUUUGCAAUGGAAUGUAGUCAUUAUAAUAUGUUUUAGGAUAGCUUUGAAUGGAAUACGAGUUAAAUUAUUAAAAACUGACUUUAUAUUUUGUAUAUAAUAGAAGUCAACUGUGAAAGAAAAAAUGGAAACUACAUAAAUCAAAUCUUAAACCCAAUUUUUGUUUUUCUAAUCAAUAAUUUGGAAACGCCAGCUGGUACAUAUAGUAAGUUCAUAUGCUUCCUCUUGUUAUUGUUCUAAGAAAGGGUAAGUCAAGUAUAGGAUCUCCUGCUUGAGCAGGGGGCUGGACUAGAAGACCUCCAAGGCCCCAUCCAGCUCUAGUCUGAUUCGAUUCAAAGUAACCAAACUGAGUGGCCUUUUAAGUGUUGGCUCAGAGAGGAUACAAUUUAUCCAGCAAAUCUGGAAGCAAGAGAAACACUAAGGAAGAAACAGUAAGGAAGAUGCCUGCAUGGAGAGGCUUCCAUGUCCAUGUCUUAACUGAAUUUAUCGUACAUAAUUAUACAAAAAUAAUUUCCAAGUAAAUCUUUGAGAACCUCAGAUUUUAACACAGAAGUUUCUCAAAAUGAACAACACUGCCUUUAUUUUAUUUGACUUAUGUACAGUUUUUAAACAUACCACUAGCAAUAAAAUUAUGGUAUUUUUCUGAUAAACUGCUCUGAAAUCUUAACUUGGGAAUAGUCUCUUGUAACCAUUGAACAUUUCUAGGUACAAAAAUGCAUUUAUGGAUACAGAUAAUGUAUUGAGAUUUGCUGGGUCAAUGUAACGAAAGAACAUAGACAACAUCUGAAUAAAACAAUAUUUUCUUUAAAA